GAGCACAGGGAGAGUGGCAGCAAUACCAGGGAGCCUUAUGCUUACAAGAUGGACACCAUAUGUUUUCACUAUCGCUUCGUAGCUGUUCUCAUCUGUCCCUUUUCUUUGUCCUUUUAGUAUCUGAGGUCCAGUAACCCUGAGAAAUUUAAUUUGAGAAGACACCAUGAAUGAAAUAUUAAUAUUUUAAAAUCAAGUACAAAGAGAAGAUUGCCUGUGAGUGGUUAUUCUCUUCAGUUGUCCAAUAGCUGUUAUUUAUCAAAUUAACACCAAAACGUUCAAACUCUCUAAAAAUGAAUAGCUUUGCUUUAUAAGGAGAGUUGUGAAAACUUAUUAAGAACUCCUGCACAUAUUAUUUAAAGAUACCAUUUACACGUGAGAGUAAUUAUAAAUGAAAUAUAUUAAAUGUCCGAAAGUAGCACCAUGUGGCAGAAUUUUCAGGAAAAGAAAUCGAAUUAGUACUGGAAGAAGACAUUCAAAUAAGAGAACCACAUUUUCAAGACUCCUGCCCCUGCCACGAGAACACACCCUUUCCAGUUUGCUGGAGAAAUAUAAGAGAAGUCCAGUGAAAGAGAGCUGAGUUUCCCCAAUGAUGCCAUCAAGAUGAACUAACUACAGUUAACCAGCCAGCUGAUAGCAGAUGCAUGAGUGAGCCCAGCUGAGAGCAGGUGAAACUGAAAUUGGCUGUAUCAUCUGAAACUUCAUCUGUGAAGUCCCUGGUGGUUUCCUAGAUGACUACACAGUUGAGUUGCCUCUGAUUGGAAAAGCAGUGUUUUGGUUUUUCAGUUUGUACAAGAGGAAGAAGACGCAUGAUAUGUGUUUGGCUCAUGUGCCUGAAUAUGGCUCCACAGGGAAGACUUGAUACAGCUGAAGCUAUUGCUUUUUAGAGACUUUUUAUUUUGAGCAGCUGCCUUAACAGCCUUCGUCUUGUUACAUCACAUGAGAUAUAUCUCUGGAAUAGGAAGAGAAAAAAGACAUGACUGAGCAAUAAUUUUUGACUAAAACUUAAAAUUACAAAACCAAAACCAGAGAUAGAUGUCCCUGAAGUUGUAUUUUUAUAGUAUGUGAGAACACAAUUUUCUUAUCCUAGUUUUAAGGCAUUCCUCUGGACCCAGGAUUUUUGUUUAGUUUCAUUCACAUAAUCAAACUCUUUUUUUUUUUUUUGCCAUAGACUAAUGCAUUUUGGUGUAAUGAUCUGAGCCCUUAUCCAGAAGGCAUCUAAGACUCAUGUACAAAAAUAGAUUUCAGGGCUAAACAUUCUAAAAGACAAUUGAGUGCUUCUUUUUUCUCCGGCCCCUAGAUGUAAAUGAAUAACCUCUGUUCACUAACUCUUAAUGUAAUAUAAGGGAUAAAUUAUGCUUGUUUAUUUAAUUGUGCUUAACCAGAGUACUAGGUUGGAGUCAAACCACAGAUAUAUUUGUGAGAUGUGACAAAAUGUAGCUUUUAGCCCGUAAUACCCAAGUCAUCUGGGAACAUAACUGAUGACAGUGUCAACACCUUUCAGGAAUUCUGGAGGUGCCUUUGAGUUUAGAAAUUCGUAGGUUCUCUAGAAGCAACAGUAGCAUACUAAAUUAACACAUAACAUUUCAAGCUACAUUUACAUAAUUGCAGUGGUUAUGAUUAAUACAAAUUAUAUUAACUGCCUGUUUUACUCCUUAUAGCUGAUUGGCUGAAUUUACCAGUGGGUUUGGUAUGUUCAACAAAUGAUCCAAAUUACCUUUUCAUUUCAGUUAAGAAACUAAUCAAAGCAAAUACACUUUGAUUUGUUGAGAGGCAGAGAUUCUCCCUAAGUGGCAAUGUCCUUGGCCUUCUAAGCUAAAACCUAAAUGGAACUAUAAUAUAUAUUUUGAUGCUUUAUCUCACUUGAGUUUUUUAUUCUUUAACUGAAGGGCAGCCAUGGACCAUAAAUACAUAGAAGAUAAAAAUAUAUUGAGCUUAGGAGUUUGGUCUGUUCAAUGGAUGAGAACUUUAUAUUUUCCCUUAUAAACACAAUUUUCAAAGAAUAGCCUGUAAUAGUCGUGAAAAUGGAAACCAAUACUGGGGAAAUGUGGACUGCAACUCUGAAAAGGUAUCAAAAUGCCCGAUAGUUCAACACAAGGGCUAAGCAAUAUUUCAGGGAUGUGGCCUGUCUUUGGUGGCUCGGUCACUCUAGUGAGAUGAAUUUGGAAAAGGAUAGGCAUACAGAAUCCCCCCUCUGGCAGGGUUUGCCUUUGGGGUCUGCUUAAAGCCAUGUUUGCUAGUAGAAAUCUUGAGUAACCAGAUAUGUUUUAUAAUGCUGUGUCAUAUUUAAAUUCUGAUGAGAUUGACAUCUUUAAAUAAGCUUGGACACAGAUUGGAUUUGUACAGGGAACUGGACUGAAGAAUAAUCGUAGGUCAGUAAUAGAUUUAGAUAUACUAUUUUUAUAUUGUAAGCAGUUACUUCUCAGGAUUAGUAUUCUAAUUCAUUUGAUUUAAUAUGUAAUAGGUAAUAUUAAAAAUAAAGAUUUUAUGCUUUGAAACUCCUUAACUGAAUAUUUUCAUAGGAAUAAGCAUAGUUUUUGUGUUUAGUAAUUUUAGUUAGUGAGUAAUGAUUAGCAGACAACAUGGUAAUUAUAUUGAAAUAUUACGUGAGUGCCAAUAACAAAGCUUUCUGAUCAAAUGCUAAGAAAUAUGUUGUGUAAAGGGAUCUCACAUUUUUUAUUGCGGCUUUCUUUCUACAAUGUGACAAAUUUCUGGGAUAUUUCAUUAUCUUCUUUUUGAAUUUUUUUCAAGCAAGACUGUUCAGUAUUAUGUUAGCAUUGAUAUAAAAAGAAGCAGACCAUUGUUAACAUUAAAAUGUUACUGAGAUUUCAAAGGUAGAGGACAUUAUCCUUUCUUAUUUUUCUUUAUGAUACAGUAUUUGUAACAUAGUGCUUCUGAAAUAGAAAGCACUUUUUGGAAAAUAAGUUUAGUGAAUAGCCAAAUAAUUUCUUACAUAUAACUUACAAAAGUAAUACCAUCUAGGCUAAGCUAUUAAAAAUAUCAGUACAUCAGUAACUACUCAUUAUAUUGACCAACCAGAGCUUAUCCAUUUUUGGUCAUUCUCAUCUAGAUAUACACUUUCAGGCUAAAGAGAGAUUUCCUUCCUUUUUCAAUUGGUUAUGAAUAGAAGUCAUCAAUUUUUUUCUUACUUCCAUCUUAAUGGUUUGAAAUAAAGAGUCAGAUGCACGGCUUUUCAAUUUCUUUUACUACUUUAUUUUAUUACUUGAUUAUUUUAAGGUCAAAAGAUUUCCAUUUCCAAAAUACGUAAUAGAAAUGAUAAAGCAGUAAAAUUUGGACUUAAAAUAAUAUGGACAUUUUUCUUACAAGUGUCAACAUGAUUUACACAUUAUUAAAAAGGCAGUAAAAUUUGAACUUAUACAGCAUAAACUUUACUUAAACUGUCAAAUACAUGGUUUUAAAGUUAUUUUAUUAAUCUAUCACUAAUAAUUAUUUUUCUUAUCAACAGAGAAAGUGAAGUUUCCUAAGCCAUCACUAGAAUUGGAAACACUAGAUUUUAUAAAUUAAUUUCUUUUCAUUGACCUAAACUCCACAUUUCUGCUGUGUUCAUCUGAGGUCAUGUCCAUAUAGUCAAAUAGCUGAAGGAAAGGUGAUAUUUUUAGUCAAAUCAAACUCCAAACAUCAUUUUUAUCUAAAUUAUCUGGAGAAUUGAAUAAAUAUUUUUUUAAGGCUGUCUGUAGAAGAAAAUUAUGUCAAUUUUUCAUUUAGCUAGAGAGGUCCUGACCACAGUGUCUUCUGUUGAAUUUCUCCUCAAGGUAGGAUUCCAAAAUACCUGGAAAAUGUGAAACAGUGUUCCUCGUAUGGGUAAUGUAGCAUCUUCACAAAAAUUCUGUCAUGAUUCAUUUGAAAAAUAAUACCUUCUCAUGUCUAAAAUAGUUUUUCAUGAGAAAUACAUUCUAUAAGAAAAAAACAAUUGGCCUAUCUUAGAGGAAAAUGCUAUUAAAAAUUGUGUUAUGGAAACAGGUAACAUUUUCUUUAUCUUUGUGAGUUUUUUCAACAUAAAUUUUGGUCAGAGAAAUCAUUUCAAAAUAGAAGAGAGUCAGAAAUAAUCAGUACAGAAAUGGUUUUGUUGAGAACUGUUAAUUGAAAAGGCACCAAGUGAAGCCCUCAUCUAUGUUUGCAUAAAAAACUGUUUUCAUCCCUAAGAAGCUUGUAGCGUUUGGUGUUUCUAGAAAGCUACCGCAGAAGUGGUGCUGUAGGGGAUAGUGAUUUUUUUUUUUUUUUUUUUUGCCAACUGAUGUUCCUUAAUGGCAGCAGGCUUCUCAGAAAAAAUGGAAAAUUAAUAAUUCUAUAUAGCAAGUUCUACAUAUCAUCACUCUAUUCUCUAAUACUUAGUGUUUAAUGUACAUAAAGAGUAGCCAAUUGUGAUAUUAACAAACUUAUUAACACCUGUUGACAAAGAUCUUUGAAGACAAAUCUACACGCAAGCUUUUGCCUUAGCGAACAACAGGAAUAGUUUCCUUAAAAGGAUACAGCUAUUUUGAAAUUUCCUCAACCAUUGCAUCCCAGUGGGGGGGAUACUUACAUGGUAGGACUGUUUGGCCAAAGUGCUUGAAGCAUUAGGACACAACAAAGAUAGUUUUGAAAUGUUUUCUUGCUCAAAAUACAUUUGUUCUUAGGACACGGCUAGUGCUCAUUUUACAUUCCAUGCCUGAAGUGUUUAAAACACUGUGGUACAGGUUUCUGAUUCUGUGUUGGUCAAUUUUGAAAUCCAUGUGUUAGUAGUAAGUGUGCUGAUUCGUAGAGUGGGUAACUUCUGGGAACUCCCCUUUCUUUUAUUGACAAUUUCUUUGUAAAGCAAAUGCUAAUUCUACAGGCUAUUAAUAAAGACUGGAACUCCCUUGUUCAUUAGACACGCAGUAGGAAAAUGGGUAACAUAGCUGUAGAAAUAUAUUUGCAAUAUGUUCUCUUCGCACAAUUUGCAUAUAAAUGCCGCUUUCCCUAUUUACUCAAAUUAGCAAUGUGUAAUGGAGCACUCAUAGCCUUUUUGUAGGUUCCUGUGACCUUUAAUUGGCACUCAUUUCAGACAAUUGCCAUUUUAGACAUUGCUAUCGCCAUCUUUUGCAAUUAAGUUUCAAAGUUAUCAUCAUGGCAUUUUUAAUAUUUAGAAAUUUCUUUUUUUAUCUCUGGCUUUCAGUUGAAGACUAUUCACCCCGGUGGACUCAUCAUGUUGGGGACUUUCAAUUGCUACUUUAAAAAGAACGCUUCACUGAAAUAGGUCUCAUCCCAUCAGGAACAUAGAAAAACAAGCAGCAGGCCGGGCGCGGCGGCACAGGCCUAUAAUCCCAGCUACUUGGGAGGCUGAGGCAGAAGAAUCGCUUGAACCCAGGAGGCGGAGGUUGCAGUGAGCCGAGAUCGCGCCACUGCACUCCAGCCUGGGCGACAGAGAGAGACUCUGUCUCAAAAAAAAGUAAAAAAAAAGAAAAAAAGGAAAACAAAAGAAAAAAGAAAAGCAGUUGUUUAUCUUUUGGCUUAAGCCAAAAGAACCUCAAAUGAAAGAAAACAAACAGAUGCCAUUAGAAAAUGCACUAAAGAUAUGAUGAAAGCUUAUCAGAAAUAAUAAUAAAAAAUCAAAUGUAGCACAUCCUAUGUACCUGGCACUGUUAUAGGAGCUGUGUCUGUAUUAACACGUAAGUGUUUGAGGUAGGUACUGUUAUUAUCCCUAUUUGCCAAUGAGAGAAAGAAGGCAAGAGAGCUUAAGGAAGUUUUCCUAAUUGCCCAGCUAGAAGGCAGGACAGGUACAAUUUGGUGCUAGGUGAUUAGGCUUCAGAAUCAUCCCUCAGUCAUCAUAUUUAAUCACAGGCUUCAUGCCAUUAAUGUCUUUGCUCCAAAGUCUUCAUUUGAUUGUUUUUUUCUAACUUGUUAUUUUUUUGAGCAAACAUUCUUGUGAACUUUCAUAUUUUUAAUCCUUCUUUAUUGAGGCUUAAAAAUAUUUUUAAAAAAUAGUAAAAUGUAUUUGCUACAAAACUGAGCACUAACUUUUGAGAAGUUGUUCUAAGCUUUCAUUUGUUUCUGGUCUGAAUCAUCAGCCACGAAUUCUGAAUAAGGCUGAUCUUAUAUUAUUGCCACGUUCAGGUCUCUAGAAAUAACCAUUAUAGGACAUGACCUAUCAUUCUUAUGGAUUUUAUUGAAUGAUGAGCUCAGCUGCUUGUACAAAUCAUUUUAUUUGCCUUCUCCUUUAAUAUAUUUAUCAGCAAAUUAGGAAGCAGUAUUUCGUUUUGUGUUGUUACUCAAAAUAAGAGGAUUUUACAUUUGUAAAAUAUGUUUUUAUAUCUUAGCCCAUUAUCUAUUAAAAACAAAACCAAUAAAAUUUUGUCAUUUAUAACUAUUUUCUAAAUUGGAAUUAUUUUCAAAAUCAAUAAAUGUGAUAUUAUCAUUGCCUUAAGAUGCUUUAAAAAAUGAAGUAAAGGAGACAGACUGAAGCUAGAAUUUAGCAAAUGGCAAAGGGAAAACAAUGACCUCUUGAUUGUUAGAUCAAACGCAGUUGAAUUUUGACCUAUAUGUGAUGGCCUUGUCCACAGUCAAUGGCUAAAUUGAUCUAUUUUUUGAUGAUUUUGGGGUUUUUUUUAUUAACGUUAAAGAUCAAUUUUUGCCUUAUUGCUCAGGUUGUCAUGUAGUUUAUUUGAUUUUGUCAUUGGAAGAUAAAGUAUUGCUCACUUAUCAAUCAAGGUUAUGUCCCAGGUAAAGAUAGACAAUAAGGAUGCUAGAAAAUUUAGUUGAAGAAAUGACUAAUGUUGAGGAAUAUAACUUAUUAGUAUUUAACCAUCUUGGCUAUUAUGUUUACCACAUUUUGUAGAUAACAAUGUGCAUGCGACUUAUUAAAUGCCUCUUGGUAUAUGAUGAUGCUGUAGAGUCUAUGCCAAGUCAGGCAAAGAGCCUUAUAGCUUUUGGUUUAUAAUCUGGGACAGAAACAGCAAGCCUAAUUUUAAAAUGUAAGUUUAAAUAAUGAAUAUGUUUAUAUGUGGAAAGGUAUAGUGAUAACUGCACUUUCUGUUACCAAGGACCGUUUGAGAAUAUCUAACAAAGGGAAUUGGAAGAGGUCACCCUGCCUUCUAGCUAGUCAGAGAUAAUUCAUUGAUGGAGUGUAUUUUUGAGAGCAGUUAGAAAGAGAGGGAAAUAACUGGUAGUUGGCUUUAUUUGAGGUAAGAAAAGGCAUUCUAGGAGUAGCCUAUGACAUGGGAAAAUACAGAUGUGGAAUGCAAUGCAGCAACAGAGGCAAAGUAAAAUGUGGACCUGGAAAUAGACAUCAAUGAAAAGAAGAUAGAGCUAAAAAUUGAAGACGUCCCUUAAUUCUCUGAAAGAAAGCCACCUUUUAAUAAAGCCAGAGAGCGGUGGAAAUACUGUUUGUACCUGGAAAAAAUGUACGGAAUAUGUUAGCUUUAAAUUAAAGUCUUAUCCUGUAACACAUGAGUCAUGAAAUAUAUUCUAGAGCACUUUCUUAACCUGUGUUUGAAGUACUGGAAAACACUCAUUAAAAUUUUAUUUAUACUUGGUGAUAGGCAGAUCAUUCCCCAGAACAUUGUCUGAAUGCUGCUGAGAGAUGUAAUUUGACUAGUAAAUUAAUGGUUUCUGGUGAUCUUAAUGUUAACAUAACAUUUGGAGGCAUUGCUCAUCAGGGGUGCAAUAUUGUGUUUCACAAGAUGCAUGAGACAAAGGCACUUAAUGAGUUUUGGCUGAGCUGCACAUAUUGUGCACAAUUCUGUUCAAACUGUUACAGGUUUUCUGCCAAGAUACGUAGGAGAAAUGGUCUAAAAGAUUAGUAGAAGAAAUGGUCCCAUCCCCUGCUGUGCACCCUUGUGAUUGGUUUGUCAACAGUUUGAGAAAAUUUUGGAAUAGGCAGUAAACAGUUAGUGUCAGUUCAUAGAAGGGUGGUCCCUUCAAUAAGAUUUAUGAACAGGAAAAUAAUGACUCUGGUAUAGUAUUUCCUUCUUUGUGUAAUUGCAGUUUUAAUAGGUAAUGGCUACUCCUAUUAUUCAUUAUUCAUGCUUAUUCACAUUUUAAAUAAAUCUUUCCUGUGAUAAAUUCCAUUUGAUAUACUUCUAGAAAAUGAGAUGGCUAGAUACAUUGCAAGUUUAAUAUUCCACUUUUGUAAUAUGACAAAAAUUUUAAAUUAUUCAUAUCUUCAUUAAAUUUUAAACAUAAAUAAAUAACAAUUAAAGUUGUUGCCCAUUAAUAGUCUGCAAAUGAAAUGUGGCAAAGGCUGUUAUCCUGCAUCGUCUACUGCUUAGAGGACAUACAUAUAUAAGCAUUAUUCUUCAGUUGAAGAAUCAUUGUACAAUAGAAAGAUAAGUUGUCUAUAAACCUUUAAACUUAAACAACUGGAAUAGUUU
ensembl:lncRNA ASMER1 adipocyte associated metabolic related lncRNA 1